ACUGUAAUACACCACACAGUCCUUAUGUUCUUCACUAUCAUCAUUUCUCAUCCUUGUUCUGCUUCCUUCUGCUUUCUUCUCCAUUUUUCACUCCUCCCCUUUUACCCCAUUCUUUCUCCUCAUGUUCUCCCCCCUCCUCCUUCUUCCAGCAUCACACUGUAAUACACCACUUUGCCCACCAUGGAGCGCCACACGCGCCUCCCGCUGUCUCUGAUCGCGCAGCUCAUUCAGCUGCCGCACGCCGGACCGGAAGUUGCACAUCGUGCACUUCCGGUUACUCCCACCAGCGCUCAUAUAUAAGGCAGGACGCCGCGAUCAACACAGCCACGCCACCACAGCACAACAUAGGCUUCAGGGCGCCAUAAUAAAGAAAAAGACCUGGAUGAUAAACAAACUAUAGAAACACUGGGAGGAUUUUGGGGUCGUUUAUUGAAUAGAGGCAAUGAUGUUCCCCUUAAUGGUGUUGUUGGAGGAGGCAAUGGUGGUCGUGGACUUGGUCUUCAUCACAGAAACUAUGGCAAACAAACCUUCACAUAGUUUUGGAACUCAGGAUCCACCGAUGAGUCCGACACCGAAGAAAUGGAUCACAUGACGAUUUUCUGAAAAUUCUCUCAAUCGUCUCUUUACAGAUUUCUCUAAUUCUUUAUCGUUGAUUGUUACCAAAUUUUCUCUCUUCUAAUCAAAUCUUAUAUCAGAAAAUUUAUUUUCUUCUAAUCAAACUUUAAAUCAAUAAAUUUCCUGCA